CCUACGGGAGGCAGCAGUGGGGAAUAUUGCACAAUGGGCGAAAGCCUGAUGCAGCGACGCCGCGUGAGGGAUGAAGGCCUUCGGGUCGUAAACCUCUGUCAGGAGGAAAGAACUGCACGGGUGCUAAUCAGCCCGUGUUUGACGGUACCUCCAGAGGAAGCACCGGCUAACUCCGUGCCAGCAGCCGCGGUAAU
rnacentral:rRNA from 1 species